UUGCAAUUAUAAUAACACUAUUGGGGGGGGGGGGUUCUUGACCAUGUUAUGUGUUUUGUUUGUUCUAUGCAAGGGCCUGUAAACAAUUCUUCUCGGUGGAACUCGAAACAGCCCCCCAAGUCGAUGGGGAGGCAGAGGAUGAUGAGGUUGGUGACCCAUUCCUCUUCGUGAAACGGCGGAAACAGAAGGCGACCACGCAGGUUGGAGUUGUAGCUGGAGUUGGCACAUCGUCUGCAGCAGCUGCCGAGGUUUUACAGGCUAUGGGGGUGCAUGAACUGAUGUAGAUUUUUGCACACAAUUCUAAGCUACAAAGUCACAUAUACUACUAUGUGGAAAGAUCAAAGGAAAAAAACACAUAUACUUCUUGUCUAGUUGAUAGUUAUAUUUUCAUUGUACCUACAAUAUGUUUUUUUCUUUUCUUUUUUUGCUACAGUGACACUGGUUCUUCUGCAUUAUGUGUGAAAUAAGACUCUAUAUGUGCUAUCUUAUAUAUAUUUGCAUAUUUUCUGUGUUUUGUUGCACACAUUGCUGCAAAAGUUGACUUGUCUUAUGAUCUAGUUGCACAAUAAUUAGUUAAAAUUGCAUAGGUACCGGAUCUCCCCAUUUUUUAUCCUUGUUUGUGUUGUCUUUUAAGUAUGAAGAAGCUAUUUUUCAAAGAGAAAUUUGGUGUGGGGGUGAAAGAGAAAGUCAAGGAGUGAGGAUCUGGACAUGAGGACAGAAGGAUCAACCUCUUUUUUCACCCUUGUUGGUGCUGCCUGGUACUUUCUAAUCUGUCCUCCCUCUUUCUUCUUUUUUUCGCAGCAAAUUGUUCCAUAGCAUUGUUAUUUCACCUUGAUUCAUCUGCCAUGGCAGCUCUGGCGAUGGAGAUCCAGAACUGGGAACCCCUUGUUUCGUGGAGAAGAAGCUAGGUGGGGGCAGGUAGGGGCAUGGGGAGAAGGUUGGUGGCCAAGAGGGCGUGAGAGCUUCGAGUGCUUCAGGAGGGGAGGGAAGGCCAUGUGAUGGCCUGGGGACUGCGUCUUGUGUGUAGUUUGUUGGGUUGGUGUGGGUCUGUAGCUGGAUUUCCUUUUCUGAGGUCAGGGGGACCGAAUCUUUCCUUUUCUGGUGGUGGCCGCUCGGGAGCGCUAGGGAGCAGCUGGCCGCUCCCUAGACGCGUCCAUUAUUAUAAAGUGACGAAUCUUGGUUGCGGAUUUA